CGCAGCCGCGGUAAUUCCAGCUCCAAUAACGUAUAUUAAAGUUGUUGCAGUUAAAAACUAAGCUCGUAGUUGAAUUUUGAGACCAGCUUACUGGUCGUGCUAUUGUGCGUACUGGUAUAAUCAGUUUCUCCUUUCUGACAAACUAUAAUGCCAUUAAUUUGGUGUUAUAGGGAAUCAGGACUAUUACUUUGAAAAAAUUAGAGUGUUUAAAGCAGGCUUACGCUUGAAUACAUUAGCAUGGAAUAACGGAAUAGGAUGUUUAAUUCUAUUUUGUUAGUUUCUAGGAUCGACGUAAUGAUUAAUAGGGAUAGUUGGAGGCAUUAGUAUUCAAUUGUCAGAGGUGAAAUUCUUGGAUUUAUGAAGACUAACUACUGCGAAAGCAUUUGCCAAGGAUGUUUUCAUUAAUCAAGAAUGAAAGUUAGGGGAUCGAAGACGAUCAGAUACCGUCGUAGUCUUAACCAUAAACUAUGCCAACUAGGGAUUGGAUGAUUGUUAAUUUUUUAAUGACUUCAUUUUGGCC
rnacentral:rRNA from 1 species